GGGAUCCGUUUCCGUAGGUGAACCUGCGGAAGGAUCAUUC
rnacentral:rRNA from 2 species